GCAUAUUGUACGAUUUUCAGUGAUAUGCACUUUUUAAUAUGUUGUUGAAAUUGGUUUAUACAUCCUGACAGCAAUAAAUAACUUAUGGGCAAUGAAAAAGAAGCGAAAAAAAAAACGAAUUCUGUAUCUGCUAUAAACCUGUUAAAAUGCUUACCAAUCGGAGACAUUGUACCCGAAUCUAAAGAACCAAUCACAAGCCUGCGCGUUCUCUCCCCUCUGUACGAGCCUGAGCCGGCCUGAGCGCGUUCACGGAGGGCAAAGAAAGCGUUGUUAUCAUAGUAGUUCAUGACAGUGGACUAGACCUAGUGAGCCUACAACGUUAACACGAUGGAAGAAAAAAAACAGAAGUUACCACUGCCACUGUCACACUAAAUUUGUACCGGGGGCAAAAUUUGUACCGGGUGCGUCAUCAAUACGUAAUUCAGUCCAAACCUGCCCGGCAACAGAUGAUCGCGUCGUCCGUUGCCGGGCAACGGACGAUCGCGUCGAAUGACGUGAAAGGUUCACGAACAUUCGCGAACCUUCAAGCUCGUUCAUUCGCCAUUUUUCAUUGACCGUAACAAGACCGAUAACGUUGACCGUGACCAGACAGAUAACACUUACACUUACAAAUUACAUUUAUUAGCGUUGCUAACUUUAUAUUUGUAUUGUAUUCAAUUGUUUAAUCGUAUUUAGCUCGUAAACUGAGUGUUUAACGUGUAGUAAACUGCGUGUUUAACGUUCUCAUAGUCUAGCUAGCUAGCUUGUGUUCAUUUAAUUUAGAUAGAUAGAUAGAUAGAUAGAUAGAUUUUAGGUGUAUAGGUUUUUCUUGUUGAUUGAAAAUGGUGUCAUUUAAUUGUAUUUUCUUGUAUCUGUCGUCUCAGACGUAUGAAGCAGGUCGCACUCUCACGGAGAAACGGCAGAUCCGGAGGGAUGCAAAAAAAUUCACUCUUAAAGGGAAUUGUUUGUACUACCUUGGGGAGAAUGGCCUUUCAAUGAGGAGGGUGAUCCUCACUGAGAAGGAGAAGGAUGAGGUGCUGACGGAAGUCCAUGCUGGCCACUUUGCAGUCAAGAGGAUGACGGACAAGAUCAACCAACGCUUCUACUGGAAGGGAAUUACCAGAGAUGUUCAGGAAUGGGCAAGUGAUCAAUUUGUUCAAGUUGUGUUUGAUCCAGAUCAGCUCUAAUAUUUCCUGUGAUACGCUGAGGCACAUGAGAUUUAACACUAGGAACGCCGGGCCAUUUUUACUUACUACUAGCGCCACAAGAGGGGUCAAAUGACCCCUAUGUCCUUUGAAUGAGAGAAUAAUUUAUAGUGAUUGCCUUAUAUAAGUAAUUGUUAAUUCAAACUACUGUGACACGCAAAGAACAUCACCUCUACUCUAGAGCAUAUUAUUAAAUCUGUUGUGUUUAAUCUCCUUGUGUUGUAAAGGUGAAAACCUGUAUGUCAUGCCAGAGGUUUGAGCAUGUGAAAACGGAGGCACCAGAGUUGAAGCCCAUCAAACCGAAGUCACCAUGGCAUAUGAUUGGUGAGAUAUCUUGCUUUUGGGUUCUGUGAAAUGGCUACAACCUCUCAAAGUCAUAAUUUAAUUUGUAUUAUUUUCUUAAUGUACUGUAUUGCCAUUUCUACCUCUCUAACGUCAUGGCCUGUGGGUAUGUGUUUAUUUCUGUCCCUACUCUAGGUGUUGACCUAAUUGGACCAUUCAAAGCCUCUAAGAAUGGGAACCGCUUCUGUCUGACAGCAACUGACUUCUUUACCAAGUGGGUGGAGGCCAGGCCCAUCAUGGACAAGAGUGCAAUUGCCACAUCACAGGCUAUGAUGGACAUUUUCUACACCCAUGGGGCUCCUGAGGUCAUCUUGACCGACCAGGGUCGUGAAUUCUGGAACAAGGUGGAGUAUUUACACAUAUAGAUGUGUCAUUUAACAGUGGUUGAUCAACACUGGCAAACAAGAAACCUAAUAACUGUUGAAUUCCUUAAUUCAGGUAAACAAGUCCAUGUUUGAGGAGUUUGGGGUCGGCACCGAAUCACAUCAGCAUACCAUCCUCAGGUAUAGUGUAUAGUAUGUAUGGGAUAAUGUACAGUGAGACGGUCAUUAUUGAGAAAUUAACCCCAACAGGGUGAUGCAGGACCCCGACUGGAAUAUGAUCAGAACGGUGUCCAUAGCAAAAGUCUGUUAUUCAUAGCAGCGGUCUGCUAUACAGAAAUAACAGACCGUAGAAUGCCCUAAUUGA